rnacentral:rRNA from 1 species
GAGUAACACGUGGGUAACCUGCCCUUGAGUUCGGGAUACCCCUCAAAGGGGGGCUAAUACCGGAUACGUUCCUUGGAUCGACAGGUCUGAGGAGGAAAGGUGGCGCAAGCUGCCGCUCUUGGAGGGGCUCGCGGCCUAUCAGCUAGUUGGCGGGGUAACGGCCCACCAAGGCUAUGACGGGUAGCUGGUCUGAGAGGACGACCAGUCACACGGGGACUGAGACACGGCCCCG